ensembl:lncRNA
AUGACGACCUCUGUUUUGAUGCCUGUGGAAGGAAGCACCCGGCCCACACGUCCUGCUCUGGGGACGGACAGGGCCGUGCCGCUGCCGCCCGCUGCCGCCGGGUCCCCGCUCCGCAGGCACUGGGUGCAGCGAGCUCGGUGCCUCCUGCAGCCAGGACCCCGGGGAACCACGGGGCUGCACCAGAUGCAGGUCACUGAGGCUCCAAUGCACCCAUCAAUAUUAAACUAUCGUUAUCUUACUAAGUUAAAUACUAUUAAAUACUCGUUACGCAGGGAAGGGAACUGCUGCUUUUCCUGCAGGAGGGAGUUCCCGGUUCCCAAAGGGCGCGGGGCAUGCCCCGUCCCAGCACAACCCCUCUGUGCAGCGCCCUGCUCCACGUCACUUACUGGUGCUGGGGACACCGGGGAUGCUGGGGACACUGGGGAUGCCGGGGGCAGCAGCCCCCGCCCCUGGGCCCUGGGGGUACCCGAUGUCCGACUCGUCCUCCGGCUCCGUUUUCACCACAAUCUCGUGCUUCACACCAGCCCAGCCCUUUCCUGGGGAAGAAAAAGCCAAAUUUGGGUUCCCUGGACGUGUGAGCAGACAGCAGCCAAGCAAUGCUGCCACGCGCUCCGUGGCGCUGGGAUGGGCACAGAGGGGACAAAACCUACCCCGGGGGGAAUGGAGACCCCCAGCACCACCCAGCCCAGGCAGCGACCACCCCAGUGGCUCCCUACUGCCCAGGGUCCUCACCCACCGACCCCCCCCAGCAAACCGCUCCGCUGGGCCCUGGGGGCAGCAGGCAUGGGCUGCCUGCCCGGGGGUCCCACGGCUCACCUGCACCGCGGGGGCCAGGGACUCCCCUGCGCCCCCCGCCCCGGGGGUCCCCCACGAACGGCUUCUCCUCCGGCUCCAUCGCCGGGGGUCUCGGGGUCCCGCCAGGAAAUCCUGCCCGAGGGACAGGACAGCUGCCUGCAGCCGCGCUGCUCCCUGCGAACGCCUGCAGAGAGACCCCAGGCAGAAGUCACCCUUUGUGCCAAACUGGCCCCAAAAUGCAAGCAGCGAAGCAGCACCACUGACAGCUGGGGACUGGGGGGGCUCGGGCACAGGGGGGCUCCGGAGAUCUCCAAGCUGCUUCUCCUGACGGCUGAUUCCUCCCCUCCCCUUCCAUCCUACCCCUUCCCCUCCCCUCUGCCUUCAGGGAGUUGCUGCUUUCAGCAGGGGCAGGCACAGGAGGAGGAGGAGGAAGAGGAAGAAGAGGAAGAAGAGGAAGACCGACAUGGGGGCUACGACAGCACAGAGCAGCCCAGGACAGGGCUCGGUCACUCUGCCCGUGCCCCCACCUCCCUCCUCACAGCCCAGCAGCAGCGGCACAAGGUCACAGCCGAGGCACGCGGUGGGGCCGGAGGGGAAGGAGGAACCCGGCAGGAGGAACCGGGAGAAAACCCUGCGGAGUUCGGAGGCGGCUGCGCCCCAUGGAGCCGGCAAGCUUUCCUCGGCUGCUGGGCACAGUUUUCACGAAGGCACGGCGAUGCGGUAGAUGUAAUCUCAGUGGAAUUUGACACGCUGCCACGAGCAGCGCCGGGGCAGCCCCAGAGCAGGUGA